rnacentral:rRNA from 1 species
CAAUAGCGUAUAUUAAAGUUGUUGCAGUUAAAAAGCUCGUAGUUGGAUUUCUGAUCGAGACAUCAGGUCGGGUCCGAGAGGAUCAUGUACUUUGAUUUUGUUUUGAUCAUCCUUGGGGAGAGCAUUUCUGGCAUUCAGUUGUCGGGAUUGGGAUCCUCAUCGUUUACUGUGAAAAAAUUAGAGUGUUCAAAGCAGGCCUCGGCCUCUGAAUACAUUAGCAUGGAAUAAUAAGAUAGGACUUUGGUGGUCUAUUUUGUUGGUUUGCACGCCAAAGUAAUGAUUAAUAGGGAUAGUUGGGGGUAUUCGAAUUCAAUUGUCAGAGGUGAAAUUCUUGGAUUUAUGGAAGACGAACUACUGCGAAAGCAUUUACCAAGGAUGUUUUCAUUAA